CCGACCACAGCGCAGCUAACGGCACUCCCCUGGAGAGUAUGAUCAGCACUCCGCAGGGGAGCACCGGAUCGUUUGUGCUCCUCACAAUAAAAGGAUUUGGUGCUCCCUUGGGGAGCUCAAGAUCUGGGGUGUGCGGUAAGAUCUUAUGCUUUCUUGAGGAGAUUUGGUUGAAUUUGGCAUUCCACAGUUAGAUUCGAUUGCGAGAGAACCAAUCAGUGUAAGGAGCGUUGGCGGCCAAUUUGAGAGAACGGAAAAAAAGUGAAAAAAAAAUUUAGAUAUUUCACGUUUUCCACACACUAUGGUUUUGCUUGGAUUUUGGGAGGAAAACUGGAAUAGAACUUUCCUGUUUCUUCUGGCAAAUGAUGUCUUCAUUCCUUUUCCAAAGAGUUCAAGAGGUUACUUCCCUGGUUGGAUAUUAGAAAGCACUAGGGGAAGGCAAAGCAAAAGGAAUUAUGUGAGAAUAUUUAAGAAUCAGACUUAGUCUCUUACGGGCAUGAUGUUCUUCCCUGAAUUUCAGCAGAGAGAAAGGGUUGGAGAAACAGAAAGGUUUAUGGAAUCCCAGCAACAAGAGGGAGAUCUUUGUGAUGAGAAGCUUAAGGCCAUUUUUGAUGGAAAAGAAAAGAUUGGUUUCCUGGAGAUUGGAAAAUUGUUAACCCGCCACUUUGUGAAGACUGACUGGCCUCUAUUGUUGUAUUUGGCCUUGGGUUUCCCAACCAAGAAUGAGCUAGCUCCUGUCAUUCUGAACUUAACUCUUUUCAAUGUAUGUUCAUGUUUGCAUUUUGUGUUUAGAGCUGAACUUGCUGGGGUGGGCUUGGGAAAGGUUCUAGCUACGCUUGUGUAAAAAUUUAGUAGGGACUAGAGAGUGAAAAAGUAGCAUCUUAAUUUGGUUUUCUGAUUUUAAUUUUAUUGUUUAUACUAAUUGGAUCUUUGAUCAACUAGUAGUUUAAUUGUUCAACUAUGAGGAAAUCAUUGUUGACUUUCACAUUCAUAGUUAGCCCUUAUAAGAUGCCUUGUUUAUGGAUGAGGCAAGCAGAAUCAUUUGUGAAAUCACUGGCUCCGCAUGCAAUGAGCCAUGCUUUUGCAUGUGGCUUAAUUUGAGGUUCAAAUUAACAUGGGAUGCAGAUUGUUGAA